rnacentral:misc_RNA from 1 species
UUCCGAAGGGCAUGCCUGUUCGAGCGUCAUUACACCUCUCAAGUUCAAACUUGGUGUUGGGCAGUGCCGAAAGGCAAGCCUAAAAAUCAGCGAUGGUCCGUUUAAACCACAGGCGCACACAUGUCGCUAUGGUGGGGAGAUGGAGCAGUAAUUUUCUAAAUGUUGACCUCGGAUCAGGUAGGAAUACCCGCUGAACUUAA